rnacentral:rRNA from 1 species
AGUGAACGCUGGCGGCGUGCCUAAUACAUGCAAGUCGAACGGAGUGGCGCACGGGUGAGGACUAUAUAGCUAAACUGCCCCUGGCUGGAGGACAACAGUUAGAAAUGACUGCUACUACUUCAUAGCAAGGGCUGAGACUCUAUCGUAUCAGUUAGUCGGUGGGGUAACGGCCUACCGAGGUUAUGACGCGUAACUGGUCUGAGAGGCUGAUCAGUCGCAUUGGAACUGAGACACGGUCCAAACUCCUACGGGAGGGAGCAGUAGGGAAUAUUGCGCAAUGGGGGAAACCCUGACGAAGCAACGCCGCGUGGAGGAUGACACUUGUCGGAGCGUAAACUCCUUUGGUAAGGGAAGCGGUACCUAACGAAUAAGCACCGGCUAACUCCGUGCCAGCAGCCGCGGUAAUAC